AACUGGGAUGGCCGAGAUAGGCAGUUGAUUGUAAACCAACUCACGGGCCAACCCCCUCCCUCU
rnacentral:tRNA from 1 species